rnacentral:rRNA from 1 species
AGAGUUUGAUCCUGGCUCAGAUUGAACGCUGGCGGCAUGCCUUACACAUGCAAGUCGAACGGCAGCACGGGGGCAACCCUGGUGGCGAGUGGCGAACGGGUGAGUAAUACAUCGGAACGUGUCCUGGAGUGGGGGAUAGCCCGGCGAAAGCCGGAUUAAUACCGCAUACGAUCUGAGGAUGAAAGCGGGGGACCGAAAGGCCUCGCGCUCAAGGGGCGGCCGAUGGCAGAUUAGCUAGUUGGUGGGGUAAAGGCCUACCAAGGCGACGAUCUGUAGCUGGUCUGAGAGGACGACCAGCCACACUGGGACUGAGACACGGCCCAGACUCCUACGGGAGGCAGCAGUGGGGAAUUUUGGACAAUGGGGGCAACCCUGAUCCAGCAAUGCCGCGUGUGUGAAGAAGGCCUUCGGGUUGUAAAGCACUUUUGUCCGGAAAGAAAACCUCCGUCCUAAUACGGUGGGGGGAUGACGGUACCGGAAGAAUAAGCACCGGCUAACUACGUGCCAGCAGCCGCGGUAAUACGUAGGGUGCAAGCGUUAAUCGGAAUUACUGGGCGUAAAGCGUGCGCAGGCGGUUCGCUAAGACCGAUGUGAAAUCCCCGGGCUUAACCUGGGAACUGCAUUGGUGACUGGCGGGCUAGAGUAUGGCAGAGGGGGGUAGAAUUCCACGUAGCAGUGAAAUGCGUAGAGAUGUGGAGGAAUACCGAUGGCGAAGGCAGCCCCCUGGGCCAAUACUGACGCUCAUGCACGAAAGCGUGGGGAGCAAACAGGAUUAGAUACCCUCGUAGUCC